rnacentral:rRNA from 1 species
AAGGUAGCUUGCUACUGGACCUAGCGGCGGACGGGUGAGUAAUGCUUAGGAAUCUGCCUACUAGUGGGGGACAACAUUCCGAAAGGAGUGCUAAUACCGCAUACGCCCUACGGGGGAAAGCAGGGGAUCUUCGGACCUUGCGCUAAUAGAUGAGCCUAAGUCGGAUUAGCUAGUUGGUGGGGUAAAGGCCUACCAAGGCGACGAUCUGUAGCGGGUCUGAGAGGAUGAUCCGCCACACUGGGACUGAGACACGGCCCAGACUCCUACGGGAGGCAGCAGUGGGGAAUAUUGGACAAUGGGCGGAAGCCUGAUCCAGCCAUGCCGCGUGUGUGAAGAAGGCCUUUUGGUUGUAAAGCACUUUAAGCGAGGAGGAGGCUCCUUUAGUUAAUACCUAAAGUGAGUGGACGUUACUCGCAGAAUAAGCACCGGCUAACUCUGUGCCAGCAGCCGCGGUAAUACAGAGGGUGCGAGCGUUAAUCGGAUUUACUGGGCGUAAAGCGUGCGUAGGCGGCUUUUUAAGUCGGAUGUGAAAUCCCUGAGCUUAACUUAGGAAUUGCAUUCGAUACUGGAAAGCUAGAGUAUGGGAGAGGAUGGUAGAAUUCCAGGUGUAGCGGUGAAAUGCGUAGAGACCUGGAGGAAUACCGAUGGCGAAGGCAGCCAUCUGGCCUAAUACUGACGCUGAGGUACGAAAGCAUGGGGAGCAAACAGGAUUAGAUACCCUGGUAGUCCAUGCCGUAAACGAUGUCUACUAGCCGUUGGGGCCUUUGAGGCUUUAGUGGCGCAGCU